rnacentral:misc_RNA from 1 species
GAAUGAAGAACGCAGCGAAAUGCGAUAAGUAGUGUGAAUUGCAGAAUUCAGUGAAUCAUCGAAUCUUUGAACGCACAUUGCGCCCCUUGGUAUCCCGAGGGGCAUGCCUGUUCGAGCGUCAUUUCACCACUCAAGCCUGGCUUGGUGUUGGGCGACGUCCUCUUUGGGGACGCGCCUCGAAACGCUCGGCGGCGUGGCACCGGCUUUAAGCGUAGCAGAAUCUUUCGCUUUGGAAGUCGGGGCCCCGUCUGCCGGAAGACCUGCUCGCAAGGUUGACCUCGGAUCAGGCAGGGAUACCCGCUGAACUUAAGCAUAUCAAUAAGCGGAGGA